GGCCAGCCUCGUUCCCACCCUGCAGCGAACAUAUAAAGCUGGCGCGCGCGCGCCCCGCCCCCUUUUUCCCCGCGGAGCGCCUGGUGAGGCGGUACACGGUGUGAUGGAGAGGAGGUUUUCAACGGUGUCAAGUACAUUGCACAUUAAGCAUUUCAUGGAAGGCCUGUCACAAGUAGAAGAAUACGUCAUACACACAAGUGGAUUUUCCUGAAAGCUGAAGUGGCAUGAACAGUUUCAAGUAAUGGGAAUGCGACAUAUGCUGAAGAAAGAUUUCCUCGAGACAGGAAAUAAAAGAAAAGAGAUGCUUGAAGGCUGCCUCUGAAUAGAAGGAAAAUGUGUUUUGUAGAAAACAAGCAGGAACAAGUGCUUUUGGCUUAUUCAGAGAUGAAUGGGAGCACUUGUCAGAACUGCCUGACAAAUGUGGAUGAUGUAACCAGAAGGAAGUGUAACACCUGAAGAAAUACUGUGGCUUGGAGUUAAUGCUUUUGAAAAGCCUGCUAAAAUAGCUGCAGUUUUGUCCAGUAGAUAAUGUCUGUAGAUAUUUAAAACACCAUCUUUCCAAAAUACUGAACUGUCUUCUGCUGGAAGUGUAGCAGUGAUAUUAGGGAAAGGAGUGCAUGAAAAACCCCUUGACUAUUUACCCUUUUAAAAUACCGUAUAGGUGCACAGUCUUGCAGAUACUGGAGAUCUGUCAUAACUCGGGAGUGGAGCUCACAGGCAGACCCUGUAAAAAGGUCGAAAGCAAAGACAAUGUCUACAGCUUGCAUCACUGUGUCUGGUGAGGGAGUGAGGAGUCAGGGUUUUAUGAGCUGCUGCUUCAGCAGGAGAAGACUAGUACCACAAGAGUGGAACUGCCCUUUGAGGAAUUCACUGGCAGCAGUACUUGCUUGCUUUGCUUGCUCUGUGGGGGAAAGAGGUUGGUAGUGGGAAGAGAGCUAACGUACAUUGCAACUUGGGCUUUUGUCUUGGUUUGAAAAGACAGGUGUCUGCUAAGGAAGGCAAGAGCCUCCCUUGAAAUGGAAAAAUGUAAACCCUCUCCCAAAAUACUAUAAUUUUA